UACGGAGGGUGCAAGCGUUGUCCGGAUUUAUUGGGUUUAAAGGGUGCGUAGGCGGCCUUUUAAGUCAGCGGUGAAAGCCCGGGGCUCAACCCCGGAACCGCCGUUGAUACUGGAAGGCUUGAGUACAGACGAGGUAGGCGGAAUUGAGGGUGUAGCGGUGAAAUGCUUAGAUACCCUCAAGAACACCGAUUGCGUAGGCAGCUUACUAGGCUGUAACUGACGCUGAGGCACGAAAGCGUGGGGAGCGAACAGG
rnacentral:rRNA from 1 species